rnacentral:rRNA from 1 species
CUACGUGAGGGGCAAACGUUGUUCGGUGUCACUGGGCUUAAAGAGCGCGUAGGUGGUUAUGCAAGUAAGGUGUGAAAGCCCUCGGCUCACCCGAGGAAUUGCGCUUUAUACUGCAUGACUUGAGGAUCAGAGAGGUAGGAGGAACUCCAGGUGUAGCGGUGAUAUGCGCAGAUAUCUGGAGGAAGGCCGGCGGCGAAGGCGUCCUACUGGCUGAUUUCUGACACUGAGGCGCGAAAGCGUGGGUAGCGAACGGGAUUAGAAACCCUUGUAGUCC